UGUUUAACCAGUAUACUCCCGCGUAUCCAGCACUUAUAAUCUGUUAUAGAUUACUUGGGCACUGUUAUAAAUAAAUCAAGACUGAAAAUAUAAGAAAUGACCAGAAAAGAUACUGUUAAGUUAAAUUGCUUCCAAAGUGCAGAAAAUUCAUAAAAUAACUUAGAAACUACAGAACUUAGCAUAGAAUGAUUAUUUUAAUUGUUUAAUUAUAUUUCUUUUAAAUUAUGCACCACUAAGCUAUCA
rnacentral:misc_RNA from 1 species